GUCCCAAAAUGGCAGGGGUGAGAGGCCACCUUACAGAACAAUGACCCAAGAGGAGCGGAGGGCUGAGGCUGGCCUUGCCACUUUGUUCCGGGGCCCCUGACUGACUGUCAAUCAUCCCUUCCUCCUCACCUCUGCUUCUGUCUGUGGCUGAGCCAGGGUCCCUGGAGGCAGCCAGGCUGCCCAGAAUGAAGGCUGACUGGAGGUCCUUACCCUGGACUGGGGCCUAGGAGGGAGCUGGGCUGGGGACUCUACGGCAAUCUGUGCAUUGUUGAGCAGGAAGGGGUGGGGGCAGAGUGCACAGGCCAAAAGAGGCAGAAUGAGGGGAACUACUCCUCACUGCCCAGAGGGGGCAGGGGUGGUUUGAGAGCAGCUUCUGACACCGUGGGUUCAAAUCCAGCCAUCAGCUGGGCACUCAGCUGCUCGGACACUCAGUGUUAAAAUUCGAGAGGGUAAAUCUGAUUUUAGAAUGGUCCAAAUUGGGCUUCGACCACUGGUAAUACUUAGUAUUUGAAGAACAAGGUUAAGUGUGUGUGUGUGUGUGUGUGUGUUCGCGCGUGCCUAUAGAUUCGCAGAUUAAGGAUAGAAAAGGAUGAGAGAGGCAAAUGGCCUCAAGGGAAGGUUGGCAAGAAGCUGGGGUCCCACCUUAAGGACCCAAAGGCCUAUCCAGGCUCCCUCUGCUGGGUGACCUGUCUGCAGUGGAGGCAGCCUGGGGAGCCCAGGUCCCCUGGGUGGGAGGGAGAAGGCCCAGCCCCACCCCCUCAGCCCAGCCUCCCUGGAGGCAUGAGCAGGUAACAGACGGUUCACACAGUUUAUCACGAACCAGCUGUAUUGGAAAAACCCCAGCUAUACACAGACACAACGUGGCCCUGCCCUGGCACAGCCGGCUGGAGGGGGCACCUUGUGGGCAGGCAGCCUAGCAGCUGGGUCGGGGCUGGUAGAGCGGCUGAGGGGAGCUGACCAUCCUGCUGUCUCCUUCUGGUGUCCCCAUGGCAGUUCAGUUUAGAAAGAAAACUGAAUCUGCCUCUCCUGAUCCCCUUGGCCAAGGAGGGGGUCCCAGGCCCCAUCAUCCCCCCGCCCCUGCCCUGCAGAGAUUCCACAGAUCAAAGAUUCUGUCUGUCCUGCAGAUUAAAUGCCCAGAGAGCCUGCCUAUCCCAAGCCCCCGUCCCCAAAGUGGCUUUUUUGGCAUCUCCCAUUCUCCAUCCCAAUUCCUUUAUUCUGGAUUAAGUGAAAGAGGCCACAUCUGGAAUCCAGAGGCCACAGGUGAGGCGAGAGGGUCCCUGGCCUGCCCCAGGUGGAGCAGAGGGCCUCAUGUGGGGGGAAUGACCCACCUGGGGUCUGCGGGGGUGGGGGUGUCAGGGCCUGGAACCCAGGCUGAGAUGUCCCGGAAGCUGUCACAAGGGGGGCAGGAAAGCCUCUCUAGCAGCCCAGUGGGGGAGAGGAGAGGGCGGUGGGGGCAGGGCCGGGGAGGGGAGGGCCCUCAGAUUUUGAUCUCCGUCCGGAAGGUCUGCUGGACGUGCUCCGUGUGUGGUUGGCGCCGGGGCGGACAGGAGAGGGUGCGGACAGCCAGCUCUGGGGGAGCAUGCGGGGCCCUGGCCGGCGGUGCUUUAUAAGGCCCGACCGUCCCUGGGCGCAGGGCCAGCCCCU
rnacentral:lncRNA from 9 species